rnacentral:lncRNA from 1 species
GGCAGAAAAAUAUCUGAGUUCCUACCAUGAAGAAGAGAACAUGCACAAAGCACAAAUGUGCUUGGUAUGGGUUGUGUGGUAUAGCUCAGUGGAGGCCCCUAGUUUCAAUUCCUAGCAUCCGAAAAAAAAAAGUGCCUGGUAUGAACAUUUGACUAGAUAAUCUCUACAACCCUCAUAGUGUUUAUGCCGCUGUGAUUAUUUCAUGCUUCAUCCCAGCUUUUUCCUUGAGAAGGUUAACAUCCUUCAGAUUUAAUCAUAUCUCAGAACAAAGAAUUCCUAGGAUUUUAAAAUGCCUUAGAAGUUACUAGUCCAGCUCUACCCUCACCAGGCUGCUAUCACUCCUAUCCAUUAAAUUUCUUUUACCAAUAGCACCGACAACAUUGUUGCUGACCUUCUGCUUGAAUUCCUUCUUGGUCCUUUGUUAAGGAAUUUGAACCAAGUCAGUGAACAAAUUUAAAUACAUUUUUUAAGAAAACUUUGAGAUGCUCGGGAUUGAACCUAAGGAUUCAUACAUAUUAAGCAUGCACUCUACCACUCAGCCCCACUAUUUAAAUUAUUGUACCAGUGAAAAUUUGAAGUCUUAUUGACUUGACUAUUUCAUCUUAGAAUUGAAUAUAGAAUACUGCUUUUGUUGGUUUUUGGACAGGUUUAAAAAACAAAACAAAACCUUAUUUGUGAAUUGAUAAAAGAAUUAUUGGACAGGCAGUCAAGCUCUGUUUUACCAGGAUAUCUUUCUUGGAAAACUCUUUGCAUGUGGUGAAGUAAAUUCAGAACAUACUGUAUUCUUUAAAAAAAAUUCUUCCUGUACAAUAAAGAAUCUGAAAGAACAGGAGAUGAGGAAAUAUAGCUAAGUGGUAGAAC